rnacentral:rRNA from 1 species
AGAGUUUGAUCAUGGCUCAGAUUGAACGCUAGCGGGAUGCCUUACACAUGCAAGUCGAACGGCAGCACGGACUUCGGUCUGGUGGCGAGUGGCGAACGGGUGAGUAAUGUAUCGGAACGUGCCCAGUAGCGGGGGAUAACUACGCGAAAGCGUAGCUAAUACCGCAUACGCCCUACGGGGGAAAGCAGGGGAUCGUAAGACCUUGCACUAUUGGAGCGGCCGAUAUCGGAUUAGCUAGUUGGUGGGGUAAUGGCUCACCAAGGCGACGAUCCGUAGCUGGUUUGAGAGGACGACCAGCCACACUGGGACUGAGACACGGCCCAGACUCCUACGGGAGGCAGCAGUGGGGAAUUUUGGACAAUGGGGGAAACCCUGAUCCAGCCAUCCCGCGUGUGCGAUGAAGGCCUUCGGGUUGUAAAGCACUUUUGGCAGAAAAGAAACGGCGUGUGUUAAUACCAUGCGCAACUGACGGUACCUGCAGAAUAAGCACCGGCUAACUACGUGCCAGCAGCCGCGGUAAUACGUAGGGUGCAAGCGUUAAUCGGAAUUACUGGGCGUAAAGCGUGCGCAGGCGGUUCGGAAAGAAAGAUGUGAAAUCCCAGGGCUCAACCUUGGAACUGCAUUUUUAACUACCGGACUAGAGUAUGUCAGAGGGAGGUGGAAUUCCACGUGUAGCAGUGAAAUGCGUAGAUAUGUGGAGGAACACCGAUGGCGAAGGCAGCCUCCUGGGAUAAUACUGACGCUCAUGCACGAAAGCGUGGGGAGCAAACAGGAUUAGAUACCCCGGUAGUCC